GCUCCAAUAGCACAACAGGCAGUGCAGUUCCCUUGUAAGGAUCAGGUUGGGAGUUCGAUUCUCUCUUGGAGCACCA
rnacentral:tRNA from 1 species